GGGAGCGCGGUGGGGCGCUCGGCGCCUCAGCGGCGACGAGGUGCGGGUGUGCGAGGGGGGAGAAGGGGGUUCGUGUUGUUCUUGUGUCUGUGAGGUGCUGGAGCGGGGCUGGAGAAGGGCAAUGGAGCUGGUGAAGGGUCUGGAGCACAAGUGUCAUGAGGAGCGGCUGCGGGGGUUUAGUCUGGAGAAGGCUCAGUGGGGACAUUAUCGCUCUCUACAGCUGCCUGAAAAGAGGAUGUAAUGAGGUGGGGUUGGUCUCUUCUCGCAAGUAAUAAGUGAUAGGACAAGAGGUAACAGCCUCAAGCUGCACCAGGGAAGGUUUAGAUUGGAUAUUAGGAACAAUUCCUUCCCCAGCGGGUGCUCAGGCAUCGGAACAGUGCUGGAGUCACCGUCCCUGCAAGUGUUCACACACCGUGUGGAUGAAGCCCUCAGUGACAUGGGUUAGUGGUGGCCUUGGCAAAACCUUAUUGGGAAAGAAGGUGCCCAGGACAGUGGUGGAAUCACCAUCCUGGGAAGUGUUCAAAAACCAUGCAGAUGGGGCACUUAAUGGCAUGGUUUAGUGGUGGUGAGUCCUGGGGUAAUGGUUGGACUCGAUCUUAAAGGUCUUUUCCAAUCUGUGGUUCUCUGUAGCCUGGUGAGGUGAAGGUGGCUGCUGUCAGGAGGGGCAGGAGCGCAGUGUCUGUGGGCUCUCUGGGUUUGGGGAGGCCCCAAGCGCUGCUGGAGGGGCUGGUUUGUUUGAGGUCUGCUGAGGUGGAGUCAGGGAGGAGGUUGUGAGGAGCUGAAAGGGGAUCACUUGGGUUUAUUCGGUGUAGGCUGACUUACAAAGAGUUGGAGAACUAUCACACUGAGUCUGUGUUCUUCCUCUCUUUUGGAGGAUGGAAGCAAGGUGCUCUCUGUUCAGGGAUAACAAUCCUAACUCAUUCAGAUGCUGUAGGACCUUCCCUGCUAUCUGGAUGGAAUCUAGAAAGGUAUUUGCAGUUCUUUGCCCUACACUUAAUCCCCUGGAGGAGCUGCUUGCUGUUUGGGAUCUCUAGAAUGUAAAGAUUCCAUUACCUGUGAGGGUUUGUGAGCUCUAGUACAACAAAAGGCAAGUCUGAGGGAAUGGGGAGAGAUUAGUGACUCACAGAUAUAUUGAGGAGCAGUAGAGUGGUGAGUUUAAUUUUGAGUCUGAGGGAAAAUAUGCAGUUUAUAAGCAUCGAGAAAGAAGCAAGAAGGUGGAUGGGAGCCAGUAUGGCUUUGUCGUGAAUGAAUUGAGCCAAUCUAAUUUCCUUUCCUUGCAGCAUAACAAGGCUUGCAGAUAAGAGAAAAGCAGUAUGUGUCAUAUAUCUUGAUUUUUAGUAGAGCUUUUGACACUGGCUUGCAGGAUAUUCUAAUAAUAAACUGGGAACCGAGUCUAGAUGAUACUGCUCUAAGGGAGUUGCAAAACUGGUUGAGGGGAAAAUGUACUUGGUUUGUACACUCAGUGCUUGCACAGGGAAUUACCCUGGGUCCAUUACUCAUCCAUGUUGAAAUACAGAAUGUAAUUACUGCAUUAGGAGAUGAGAUUGAGUUUGAAGGCAGAAUAAACAGAGUGGUAGAACUAGGAUUCGAAAUGGGAGCUCUCUGGGAAAAAAAUAGGAUGCAGUUCAGUAGCAGGUGCACUGAUGUGCACUUUGAUGUAAUCAGCUUUGGAAUUACAAGACUGGGAAGAAUUGGGCAGCUGGCUGUGCUGCAGGAGAGGAUGGAGGGAGCUGCCGUGGGUCCCAAGUGGUUUGGGAGCCUAACAUCUUGCUGUUGCACAAGAGGCAAACACCAUGUGGGACCCUAGAGGUGCACAUAAUGAUCCUGCUCCUGACAUAUCUGCAGCCACACAGGAUGCUUGUGAGGAAGGCAGAGAGAAGGAAAGAAGGGGAUUGGUGCUUUCCACAUUGCUGAGAAAGCAGACUGAAGAAGCCUGGAAUUUCCCGUGGUGCUGUCCCGUUCACACCAAUGAUACCUUCCAGUUCAAUAGGAACCUGCAGCAGGAGGAACAGUGUGGACACGCUGCCCAGGCCAAGGGCUGCUCUUGGUUCCACCUCUGCAGCCCCGUGAUGAGAGCCCCAAGCAAUGCUUCGCGCCAGCCUUGUGAGUCACAGCCGUCUGUGCUGGAGUUAGUCUGGGGGUGUUUCAUGAACUCAGCUGCUGGAGUAUAGGGACAAGAGGCUGAAAUACAAAGACCAUUGAAGGAAGCCUUCAUUCAGAGGCACAUCUUUGGCUGUGCCCUGCUUGCCAAGGGGGACUGGUGGAUUUCAUCAGUGAGAGGAGCUGAUCUUUGGCACACGAACCACAGACUGAAUCCUUGGCAGGAGCAGCCACGUUGGUGGUGGAAUUAAGGUUGCAUUUUAAAGUAAUUCCUAAGCCCUGUGUUUCCAUUGAAUAAAUUCUGUUUGUUAACUGCAAACAGAGAGGAAAAGGC
rnacentral:lncRNA from 1 species